GACAGCAUAAGUAUUAAUAGUCAUGUUUUGAAAACCAAUUGUUAAAGUCAUAAACUCUGAAAUUAUAAGGUUUUAACAGUGAAGCAGAAUGGCUAACUUGAGGGAUUAUUUACAAAAAAAAACGAAAUAGGAACUAUAUUUUAAGCCUAAUUGUUACACAUAAAUUUGGUCAAAGUGUAAGCUCAUUUACGGGAAACACAAUAAAAGAUGUCUAUACGAAGAUAUCCAGUAAAUUAGGGGAACAUCCUCCAUGUACGAAGAAGUGCAGUCAAACGCACAAGAACGUCAUUAGAUGGUUAAAGGUUUCAACCAAAAUGAUGACAUCGGCCUGGCGCCUGACCAUACAGUGACAUUCAUUUCUUUGAAGAAAAGACAAGCUUAAAACUGCAUUUCCGCCUAAAGGAAAUUGAAAAAGGUUGUAGGUUGACAUUUCCUUCAUCACUCGUUCGACGAUGUUUGUAGCGGUCUAAAAGACGCGUUCCCUAACGGCCUCUGUCACCUUUUUCGCGGCGCCGGGAUCGGCCGGAUGGACAUGAUCGACGAUGCUUGAAGAGACCAAAUCGCCGAACUGCUUGACUCUUGCGUGGCAGGUCAUCUUCUUGCUUCUUAUACUACACAUCCAGUCUGUGCGAGCUCUCUUGUUAGGCGUAUCCGGCACUACUGACGACCUUUCGGCAAACUUGCCGGAUGCCACCCUUGCUCUAUGACAUCGAACGUCACCGGUACAUUGGCGGGAACCUCUUUGUCUAGGGGCUUGUCCGGUUACCAGUGGAAUAUCGGGUCGAUUGAAGCUCCUGUAAGUUAUUAUUUUAGAAAACGUACGCAUUUGGAUUGGAGGACAUAAUUGGUGACAAAAUUAAGAUUGAACAUUGCUUUUAACAAUCUGGAAUAAUUCAGUUGACCAUCAUGGUAUGCCAACUAGAGGAACAGUGCGCAAAUGGUCUGGCCGUACAGGCGAAAAAAACUACUCAUUGUAUUCAGUGCUCCAAAUAAUCUUACUUUUUGUAAUUGAAUGCAUGAAUAUCAAAAGAUGCCGCUUUUGUAAAUAAUUGUUCCAAUGUUGUACAUAUUAAAAACUAUAUGCUUUUAUUACCAAGUCAC